ACUAAAUAGAAAUACAUAUCAUAAUACAGUAAAAAACUAUUAAAAUUUACAAUCAUAACAACAUAAUCCCUCAAAAGAUAUCUUCGAAAACAGUAAAAGAUUCUCUGUUUAUUAUGUCAAAAAAAGAAUGAUCUCUGUAUGGUUUUAUUGUAAAACUUUCUAAACAUUCCAAAAAAGUGUUAAUAUUAAGAUGAGCUAGAAUACAAAGGCUGAUUUUCAAAUGGGUAAAUAUUUAUACUGAAAAAAAGACAAAGAAUCUGAUCAAAAAUAGCAUGUAUACUAUAUGUUCUCUUAUUGUUGUAACUGCUCAUGCCUAAAUUGACUCUUCUACAUUAACGGUAUGAAGAACAUGGCAUUAUUUUACAUAUUGCCUAUAUAUCAAUUAAGAUUUGGGGUCUAGAUACUAGUGUUAUUCUUACAUUUAGAAAUAAAUAAACAGUCGGUUGAGAGACCUAGUGGAGAACUACAGCUCAAACGUAUUCACCUGUUUGACCACAGUAUGCUUGAACUACAGCUCGAGCUGAUAUGGUUCCUUGAGUUUAAUUUGUUCCCAGAGUUCACAGCUUGAGCACAGCCAAUUUUCUGCAUGACUGUGAGCUAUGACAGACCCACAACCGCUUCUUACCCGCUGCUGAAAAACUGCAGUAUAAUUGGCUCUCAUCAGCACCAUUCCUGCAUCUUCAUCCAACAUGGGCUCCACUCCACUGAGAAAACGACUCCAAAUUAAAGUAAGAUGACAUGUGUCUCAAUUUUUGUAUUCUUAGUUAUUAUUAUUUUGGUCCAACAUGUUUGUCAUAAUUGGGGCUGUGUUGUUAAUUGCUUUAAUUCACAUUUAUUCACACACCACAAAUUCGACCGAUUUCAAUGUUUUUUUUUAUUGUCAUUCAUUUUCUCCAUAGGUAAAACGUUAAACAGCCAUGAACUAAACCAUCCAGCUCAGAGGUAAAUCACAGCAUUACAAACUUUUUUUGAAGCAAAUGAGUAUUUAUAAAUCGGCCAAAAACACAACAGCAGUUAUACACAAACAAAGACACUGUAUAUGCAACACCAGUUUUGGGAGUGAUAACUUCUGUUACAUCAUGUUACAUUAUACGUUAUGGGAGAUGAGGGUUUCCAUGGCAACUCGCAUUUUGCAUAUUAAGAGUGAAGUGUGUCAUUUUUUUGUGCUAGCAGCUGUGCUGUGUGAAUGGCCCAACAUGACUUUACGUUGGAUCAACCAGUGGUGUGAGUUUGUAUUUUGGAAGUGUUACAUAUUUGCAGUAAAUUAUAUUUAUAAUUAAUUUAGGUAUAAAUAUGUGUGUUUUGUAGGUUUAGCGCUAUUGUACCUUCACCCGUGGAAAACAAGCACUCAACUAACAAAGGGAAUUCUUCACCAUUCGGAUGAUUCUUUCCCAUAGUGACAGCUGAAUGUCCUCAUUACAGUGAUAGAUGCUGACUCUCAGCUCGAUAUACAGCUGUUAUGGUGUGAUGUGAGGGAGUUAGACAGACCCCAGGGCGUGGUUAGGGGGUACACACAAUGUUCUGCCAGCUCUCCAGCUGGCUCUGCUAUCGGGAAUUCCUUUCGGAUCUGCAGGUGAACCUGGGGAUGCAUUAGUGAGAGCUCGCAAACUGUCUGAAAGCCCAGGGCUACAGAUCUGAACUUUGAAGGAGCCUUUUUAAACGUCAGGGAGGAGUGGAUUGAAUGGUAGCUGGGAGUCAAAUUUACAACGUUUUUUAAGUUGUUCUCGUUGACAGUAUCUUUGUUGAAGCGAGUGAACAAGUAUUCUGUGGGGGGUGGCAGGUUGUGCGCUGCUGACACUGAAGAAAUAGUGAGGAAUGGAAUUAGCUGUGGCAUGGAAAGAGCAAGUGAGAAAUUGAAACGAUAGCGGUGUCUGAAAUGUGAAAACUGCUGGCUUGACAUGACAGAAUACAGAGGUAGAAUGGGAUUUAAGCAAUGAAUUCAGUGUUUGCAGAGAAUCCUGUCUUUUAAAGAGGCCCAAAAAUAAAAAUUCUGUCAUCAUUUACUCCAAAUCUGUAUAAUUCAUUUGUUCUGAUGAACUCGGAGAAAGAUAUUUGGAAACAUGCUUAUAACCAAACAGUUCUUGGUCACCAUUAACUACCAUAGUAGGAAAAAUUACAAUGAGUCAAAAGUGCCCCAGAAGUUUGCUUUCCUACAUUCUUUAAAAUAUCUUCUUUUGAAAUAUACAUUUAUUAAGCAUUUUUUCCUACUGUGGUAGUCAAUAAACUGCGUUCUUCCAAAUAUCUUUCUCUGUGUUCAGAUUGGGAACAAUUUGACAGAAUUUUCAUUUUUGGAUUAACUUUUCCAUUAAGAUGCCUUCAUCUAGUUGUAUUUUGGAAGCAAUAUACACAUGCCGGCUAAAGAUUGAAGAUAUUUCUCAUGAUCUUAAAAAAAAUGUAAUCUAAAGGGAAAUGUUUCAUUGUUUCAUAUUACUUGUGAUUGUGCCAACAUAUCAAUUUCUUUCAUUAGAAAAUAUUUUGUUUAUUAAAAAAAAUGUUUUUGUAAUGGAUUACUUGGAUAAAAAUAAUGAAUAAAAAGCAGACGAUAAGAGCGCAGUAAAAAGCUUCCCAGGUUGAGACCUCAAUCUUCUUUGAAGAUGCCAAAAUACAAGUUAUGUUUCGUAUGCAUUUAUUUUGGAUGCUUUUAGUCACAACGUAAUUCCCACAGUUACAAUUGUGUUAUUCCAUGGUUUUGAUGGUUUUGCUAUUAUCCUAUGUGGAAAAAAAUAUAAAGAAUGAGUAAGUGAUCCUUAACAUUUGACCGGUUGGUUGUGUAUAUUUUUAUUUAUCCUUUACAGAUAUCCAACAAUCUUGUGUGUGGUUUGGCAGUUAAUGAAUAAAAGUGGUGUCUGCUGGACCCAUUUCUAGAAAUAAGUAUUCAAGUGUCUAAAUAUCUGUUUUAGAUCAUUAGAUAUAUCAUUAUAAUGCUUUGUAUGUUUAUCUGAAACCAGUUUCCUUAUGUCUUUGACUUUUAGUAAACUGCAUUCCGUUUCAAACACAAAAGGAUAUUUAUUGUGGGAGUUGAACAGGCACUCCACAGUCAGGAUAAAGAUGAUCAAGGUCCUUCAAACAAGAAGGUGCUUUCAGACCACAGACAUCAAGGUGAAAGGAACGCCGGACAGAAUGAGGAUAGAAAUGUUCCACCACAAUAGAAGUGAUGUUCUUUGAUGGUAGGCCUAUAAGGAGGUGAAAAUGGUUCUAAAAAUAAAGUCCUGCGUGCCACGAAACAGGCUGCCUCCUCCUGGUGCAGGUAUGCGGUUAAAUUAAGUGUGUUUUGAGUCUGAAGAGUGCCAGCGGUGCGUGGGAUGUGUGCGUCACGUAUAGUCCCCGGUGGUUUGACAGCGUCUCCGUAGGGACGGACUGUCGGACUGACGAUUAUAAGCGAAGGAUAAACACAGGCGAACCGGAGAGCGCGCGCUCAAAUGAGCUGACAGGUGCGCGCUACGCCCACGCCAUUCGCACUUUAAAAGCGCUCCAGCCAGACUCAUAAAACAAAGACAGGUGAUGCCGAAUGACAUCCAUAAUAAAAGGGAAGUUCAGCUUGAGAUAAGAGGAGCUUAGACGAAGCAUCAGUAUGCUCGGUACAAAGCGUUUUGUUAUAUCGCCGAGUUCAUGUCAUACAUUCAGAAAUUGAUUAAAAGCGAGAGCUGCAGCAGAAAUUUUGCAGAUAUUGUGGAAGGGAUAUGCAUGUCCAGACUUUGCUUGUAAUGUGUUCGCAGUAUUGUCAUGCACUGUCUGUGAGUUUUGCAGUGGCUGUCUGUGAGCGAAUUUUCCAGAGAGGUUGAUGUGAAAAUUGAUAUUGACCAAACUUCUUUAUACUAAAGUUCUUCAUACUUGUUCUUCUUCCCAAACAAAAGACUGUUGUAGGUUUAUUAUUCUGUUUGUUUUUUUCCCAUAAGAGCAUGAUCUCUGUUAACCUAAUAGUCUUGGUCAUUAACAAUGCAAAAUAAUCAUUCGUUCCCAGUUGUCAAUGAUGAAUCAAAUGGAUGAUGUGCGAUUUUUAUUAUAGUAUUAUACAUACUAAAGAAGGCAAAUUAACAUACAUUCUAAAUGGACAAUUUAUGAAAAAGAGAGGACUUUAUAUAUAUUUUGCCAAAAAAGACAAAAAAUAUUGAGAUUUUAUAAAAUAGGGCUAACAUUUCUUCACAGCAAAAUCGCCAGUGUUUUAUAUAUAACUAUAUAUAUAUAGUUAUAUAAUAUUCAGUGUGGAUUAUAUAUACACUGUGAGUGUUAAUUUGACAUUUUUUAACAAUGUGGAUUAUAUAUACACUGUGAGUGUUAAUUUGACCUUUUUAACAAUGUGGAUUAUAUAUACACUGUGAGUGUCAAUUUGACAUUUUUUAACAAUGUGGAUUAUAUAUACACUGUGAGUGUUAACAAUGUGGAUUAUAUAUACACUGUGAGUGUUAAUUUGACCUUUUUUAACAAUGUGGAUUAUAUAUACACUGUGAGUGUUAAUUUGACCUUUUUAACAAUGUGGAUUAUAUAUACACUGUGAGUGUUAAUUUGACAUUUUUUAACAAUGUGGAUUAUAUAUACACUGUGAGUGUUAAUUUGACAAAAUUUGGCAAUUUUGCUGUGUUUGUAUCACUAUUUAUUUAUUUAUUUAUUCUGAUUCUUUUUUAGGAUAUUGCCCUGAUGGACCACAGCUGAGUCUGCAUGAUAAGUGUAAAACAAUUAAAUUAUUAAAAAAUAUA